CCCCUCUCCCAUUUCCAUUACUUCCUCCAAAACUUCCUCUGCCUUUAAAGCUACCACAAUAACCACAUCGCCCCCUUCCCUCAUCUGGUCUACCACCUACAAUAUAUCCCCUCUGUGGGCAGUCACUCUUUGUAACGGAUCACCUGGCACCCCGACUGGGUACCUCCGUUGAAGGAUGCUCCUAGCGCUUCCUGAGGACUCCAAGCACUGCAGCAGACACCACAACCACUGAAAAAGCAUACGAAUGCUCUCAAGCAUAUGAAUGCUGUAAGCAGCUGAACAGGAAAAGCAUACAAUCAGCUUACACUCCUGGCAAUCAGCAUACAAUCCAAUUCC